rnacentral:rRNA from 1 species
UGAGGAAUAUUGGUCAAUGGGGGCAACCCUGAACCAGCCAAGUCGCGUGAAGGAUGAAGGUCUUAUGGAUUGUAAACUUCUUUUAUACAGGAAUAAAUUGGGGGACGUGUCCCCUUUUGCAUGUACUGUAUGAAUAAGGAUCGGCUAACUCCGUGCCAGCAGCCGCGGUAAUACGGAGGAUCCGAGCGUUAUCCGGAUUUAUUGGGUUUAAAGGGUGCGCAGGCGGGAUGUUAAGUCGGCGGUGAAAUUUUGCAGCUCAACUGUAAAAGUGCCUUCGACACUGGCUUACUUGAGUGUGGAUGAAGUAGGCGGAAUUUGUGGUGUAGCGGUGAAAUGCUUAGAUAUCACGAGGAACUCCGAUUGCGCAGGCAGCUUACUAAGCCACAACUGACGCUCAUGCACGAAGGCGUGGGGAUCAAACA